UAGAGUUUUUAAAACUCCCAACCCAUGUGAAUUUACCAUUGUUGCCUCGGCGGGACCUACCCUGUAGCGUAUCGACCUAGGACCGCCGAAGGACCCUUAAACUCUUGUCAUCUUAGUGGAAUCUGAGCGUCUUAUUUUAAUAAGUCA
rnacentral:misc_RNA from 1 species